GGGGAUUUAGCUCAGUGGUAGAGCGCUUGCCUAGCAAGCACAAGGCCCUGGGUUCCGUCCCCAGCUCUG
rfam:Rattus norvegicus chromosome 14, whole genome shotgun sequence.